GGUGCGUAACACGUGAGCAAUCUGCCCUUAAGACCGGAAUAGCCCAGGGAAACUUGGAUUAAUACCGGAUGUGGAGGAGUCAGGCAUCUGACUUCUUCCAAAGCUUGUAACGGCGCUUAAGGAGGAGCUCGCGGCCUAUCAGCUAGUUGGCGAGGUAACGGCUCACCAAGGCUAAGACGGGUAACUGGUCUGAGAGGAUGAUCAGUCACACUGGAACUGAGACACGGUCCAGACACC
rnacentral:rRNA from 1 species